GACGAACGCUGGCGGCGUGCUUAACACAUGCAAGUCGAACGGAAAGGCCCAGCUUGCUGGGUACUCGAGUGGCGAACGGGUGAGUAACACGUGGGUGAUCUGCCCUGCACUCUGGGAUAAGCCUGGGAAACUGGGUCUAAUACCGGAUAUGACCGACUGUCGCAUGGUGGUUGGUGGAAAGCUUUUGCGGUGUGGGAUGGGCCCGCGGCCUAUCAGCUUGUUGGUGGGGUAAUGGCCUACCAAGGCGACGACGGGUAGCCGACCUGAGAGGGUGAUCGGCCACUCUGGGACUGAGACACGGCCCAGACUCCUACGGGAGGCAGCAGUGGGGAAUAUUGCACAAUGGGCGCAAGCCUGAUGCAGCGACGCCGCGUGCGGGAUGACGGCCUUCGGGUUGUAAACCUCUUUCACCAGGGACGAAGCGUGAGUGACGGUACCUGGAGAAGAAGCACCGGCCAACUACGUG
rnacentral:rRNA from 1 species